AUUGAACGCUGGCGGCAGGCCUAACACAUGCAAGUCGAGCGGAUGAAGGGAGCUUGCUCCUGGAUUCAGCGGCGGACGGGUGAGUAAUGCCUAGGAAUCUGCCUGGUAGUGGGGGAUAACGUCCGGAAACGGGCGCUAAUACCGCAUACGUCCUGAGGGAGAAAGUGGGGGAUCUUGGGACCUAAGGCAAUAGGAUAAGCCUAGGUCGGAUUGGCUAGUUGGUGGGGUAAAGGCCUACCAAGGCGACGAUCCGUAACUGGUCUGAGAGGAUGAUCAGUCACACUGGAACUGAGACACGGUCCAGACUCCUACGGGAGGCAGCAGUGGGGAAUAUUGGACAAUGGGCGAAAGCCUGAUCCAGCCAUGCCGCGUGUGUGAAGAAGGUCUUCGGAUUGUAAAGCACUUUAAGUUGGGAGGAAGGGCAGUAAGUUAAUACCUUGCUGUUUUGACGUUACCAACAGAAUAAGCACCGGCUAACUUCGUG
rnacentral:rRNA from 1 species